rnacentral:rRNA from 1 species
GACAGAGGGUGCAAACGUUGUUCGGAAUUACUGGGCGUAAAGGGUGUGUAGGCGGUUGCUUAAGUUUGGUGUGAAAUCUCCCGGCUCAACUGGGAGGGUGCGCCGAAUACUGAGUGACUCGAGUGCGGGAGAGGAGAGUGGAAUUCCUGGUGUAGCGGUGAAAUGCGUAGAUAUCAGGAGGAACACCGGUGGUGUAGACGGCUCUCUGGACCGUAACUGACGCUGAGACACGAAAGCGUGGGUAGCAAACAGG